GGUUUUAUAUUCAUGAAAUGAUAUUAGAAUGCAAUUCUAGUGGUGUAUUAAUUGUACUAAGACUU
rnacentral:tRNA from 1 species